rnacentral:sRNA from 1 species
AGAGAUUGUGUCGCAAUCGGUGGCAGGC